rnacentral:rRNA from 1 species
AUUGAACGCUGGCGGUAUGCUUAACACAUGCAAGUCGAACGGUAACAGGCCUUCGGGCGCUGACGAGUGGCGGACGGGUGAGUAACGCGUAGGAAUCUGCCUUAUAGUGGGGGACAACGUGGGGAAACCCACGCUAAUACCGCAUACGCCCUACGGGGGAAAGCGGGGGAUCGUAAGACCUCGCGCUAUGAGAUGAGCCUGCGUUAGAUUAGCUAGUUGGUAGGGUAAAGGCCUACCAAGGCGACGAUCUAUGGCUGGUCUGAGAGGUCGAUCGCCCACACUGGGACUGAAACACGGCCCAGACUCCUGCGGGAGGCAGCAGUGGGGAAUAUUGGACAAUGGGCGCAAGCCUGAUCCAGCAAUACCGCGUGUGUGAAGAAGGCCUUAGGUUUGUAAAGCACUUUCAAUGGAGAGGAAAACCUGCCGGUCAAUACCCGGUAGCUUGACAUUACCUAUAGAAGAAGCACCGGCUAACUCCGUGCCAGCAGCCGCGGUAAGAC